rnacentral:tRNA from 1 species
UGGGGUGUAACUCAGUGGUAGAGACCUUGCCUAGCAUACUCAAGGCCCUGGCUUCCAUUCCCAGCACUGCAA